ACCGCCCUCUCCUCUCCUCAUUGUAGUAUAUAAACUUUAUUUUCCCGGUGAUUCCACAGAGAAGAAAAAUAAAACAAACUCUGUUUAGAUUUUCUCUCAAAGUCCGUAAAAUUUUUGCGAGAUUUUAUUGAAGAUUUGAUCCCGAGAUUGUGUUUUCUGUUCAAUGGUGAUUACAGGUUCUGAGGGCGAGAGAGUAAGCGAGUUGAAGACGAUGGGUCCGGAAAGAUCGAAACCUCUCCACAAUUUCGCGAUGCCGAGCUUGAAGUGGGGAAAUCAGAGGUUCCUAAGGUGCAUGAAAGUGAAUUCCAAUGGCGAAGUGGCCGCCGAUGAUGGCAGAUCUUCGGAUUUGGUUAGGGGUAGGCGAGAAUCCGAGUCGGAGAAACGUAGAUCUCUGACUUGUUCGGAGAGUUUGGAGGAGUCGCCGACGCGGUCGUCGCCGAUUGGGGGGAAAGGAAAGGGGGAUGAGAUCGACGGCGACGACGGAAUCGAAGCGGUGAGGGCGAAGCUGAUGUUCGAUCUUCAAGCAGCCGCCGACAAGAUGAAGGUGGCUAUUUUCAAGGACGGGGAAGAGGAGGACUCCUCGAGGCCAUGGAAUCUCAGGACAAGGAGAGCUGCGUGUAAGGCUCCGUCGCCGAGUGGUGGAGGAGGGAAGAGUUUGACGAUCGAGAGGCGAAAGCCUGGUACUUCGCCGUCGAGGACUGAUGUGUCGGCGCCUAGAAGAGGUGAGAAGAAAGAGAGGGCAAAGUUCUCGGUUUCACUUUCUCGGCAAGAGAUUGAGGAGGAUUUUAUGGCCAUAACGGGACACAGGCCCGCGAGGAGGCCGAAGAAGAGGGCAAAGAAUGUGCAGAAGCAAUUGGAUACGCUUUUCCCAGGCUUGUGGUUGACCGAAGUUACACCAGAUUCAUACAAAGUUCCCGACUUUCCUGAAACCGGAAAGAGAUAGUAAAUACAUGGCAGGAGCUGGUUUUUAGAAGUUUAAAGGUUCUUGUUCGCUGACGGCUGAACUUUGAAUGCUGGUGGUGCUGGUCCAUGCCACACGCGCACUACGGCAGUAUGUGUGGCCUUGAAGUCAUCCUUCUCCAAUGACAAAAACGUGCUUAAAAAGUAUGAGAUAAGGGCCCUAUGUGUGGCCCAUCUAUCCUCCCGUGCCAUGCCGCCAAUUUCUGGCUAAAACGAAAUGUUGAGAUAAAGAAUGAACUGAAAUCUUGACACGGUCUGACAUUGAAUGCUGACUCGAGGAUGCUUCCUCUCUAUUUUACCUACUCCCGGUCAAGAGAACCCAGAAUAUGGACUGGAUUUUCUUCACGAAAAUUAGACCAUUAACUCCUCUUUACACGUAUGAAUUGAGCUUCCUCAACAAGAUGAUAGGAUAGAUUAUCUAUUCAUUAUUGAAAACUUAUUUUUAUUUUUCUUAAUAUGUUUUAUCGAAAAAAGAAAUGUAAGU